rnacentral:lncRNA from 1 species
CUUCCGAGCAGUAACGCUGCUAAUCAGGCAACAGAACAAGAACCGAAUUGUCAGAGAAAUCAAAAGGCCUAGUGGCUGACGGUGACAGGAAUUUACCGACAGUAUCCAUCGCCAAUCUCUGGCAUCGAUUCAGAAUGAAAAGUCCGCUACCUUUUGCUCUGAAUUCACCUUUCUUUUUUUCCUUUUUUUUUUGCUUUAUCUUCUUCUAUUUGGGAAUAUAGAGUGUUUUCGGUAGAAUCAAACCAACUUCAUCAAUCCUCAGCAAUUCCACUUGACAUCUAUGCCACAACUUUAUCUCUCGC